GGCACACGGUGGAUGCCUUGGCACCAGGAACCGAAGAAGGACGUAGGAAUCUGCGAUAAGCCUCGGGGAGUCGAUAACCAGACUGUGAUCCGAGGAUUUCCGAAUGGGGAAACCCGGCUGGAGGCAAGUCCAGUCACUCCCGCCUGAACACAUAGGGCGGGUAGAGGGAACGUGGGGAAGUGAAACAUCUCAGUACCCACAGGAAGAGAAAGCAACCGCGAUUCCGUGAGUAGUGGCGAGCGAAAGCGGAAGAGGCUAAACCUCAGUUGUGUGAUACCUGUCAGGGGUUGCAGCUGGGGGGUCGUGGGACUUUUCGGUCAGUGCUGACACGCUGGCAUGGAGUCAGAAAUGCGCGUUGUAGUCGAAGGGCAUUGAAAGGCCCGGCACAGAGGGUGCUACCCCCGUAGACGAAACGAUGCGCACUCCAGAGAAGUAUCCCAAGUAGCACGGGGCCCGAGAAAUCCCGUGUGAAUCUGGCGGGACCACCCGCUAAGCCUAAAUAUUCCCUGGUGACCGAUAGCGGACAAGUACCGUGAGGGAAAGGUGAAAAGUACCCCGGGAGGGGAGUGAAAUAGAUCCUGAAACCGUGUGCCUACAAUCCGUCGGAGCCUCCUUGUGGGGUGACGGCGUGCCUUUUGAAGAAUGAGCCUGCGAGUUAGUGCUCAGUGGCGAGGUUAACCCGUGUGGGGAAGCCGUAGCGAAAGCGAGUCCGAAUAGGGCGUUUUAGUCGCUGGGUCUAGACCCGAAGCGGAGUGAUCUACCCAUGGCCAGGUUGAAGCGACGGUAAGACGUCGUGGAGGACCGAACCCACUUAGGUUGAAAACUGAGGGGAUGAGCUGUGGGUAGGGGUGAAAGGCCAAUCAAACUCCGUGAUAGCUGGUUCUCCCCGAAAUGCAUUUAGGUGCAGCGUCACGUGUUUCUUACCGGAGGUAGAGCUACUGGAUAGCUGAUGGGCCUCACCAGGUUACUGACGUUAGCCAAACUCCGAAUGCCGGUAAGUGAGAGCGUGGCAGUGAGACUG
rnacentral:rRNA from 1 species